AGAUGGAAAGUGCGCGGUAACAGUGCCUGCGGGGGAGGGAGCACCUCAGCCCUGAAGAGCCACCACCGGCCACCGUACCACCACAGGAGGGAUCUCUUUCUUUGGGCUUUUAGUAAGUCUGUUCUCCGGGAAGUGGGAAAAGCAGGUUCAGCCAGUUUCAACUGUAUCUGAAAAAUUUCAACACAUAUCUGAAAAGGAGAGAGAAUUAGCACCAGGCUGUGCCCAACGUGGGAAAGGAGGUGAUAGGUCCUGUCUGGCAGCUUUGGCAUCAGGAUACUGGAGUCUUGUUUAGCAAUUCCCUGGCCAACUGUGAGCUUCUGGCCAGGACCUUCCAGGCUCUUAGCCUCAGUUUCCCUUUCAGCAAAAUGGAAUGAUUGGACAGGAUGCUCUCUGACGGCAAGAACUGGUUUUCCAGCUCGAGAAGGAAAUGGUUCCUUUGCCUAAGAGGCACUGUGACCUGUUUUUCUAUAUGGGCCUGGAGGGUGGGAGGAGGUGGGGAGACACACACACACACACACACACCCUGGGGUUAUCCUGUGCCAGGUGCUGGGGAUGCAGCAAUGAGCAAGAUGGACACAGUGCUUCGUCCUUGAUCUCACGGAGUCAGAAAAGGCAGAGACCGAACAGGUAAUUAAACAGUUACGUCUUCACUGAGGUUAGAACAGAGCCCGAAGUGAUAGGAAGGAGCAAGCAUGUGAAGGGCAGAGUGUUCCAGGUGGAAGGAACAGCAGGUACAGAGGCCACGGGCAGAAACACGACUGCCAGGUUGAUGGGCAUAAAAGAAAACCUGAGCGGCACAGGCGAGGGGAGAUGGGUGGGCAGUGACACCUCUGUCAUCGUCUGGCUCUGGCUACAGAAUUCUCUUCGGAGGCCAGAGACUGGGCUAAGUGCCCCUCUGCUUCUUCUGCUCACCCCAUCUCGCACGCACGCACGUAUGCCCCUGCCCCUACGCUCAUCCACACACACCAGCCCGGGGGAGCCUUAGAUAGAGCUAGGCGGGGCUUUGCGGUAGAUCAUUCCAGGCAGGAAAAUCUCUGUUCUUCUCCCCCCGACUCCUACCGGAGCGGGGACCUUGGGGUCUCGCCCAAGGAAAGGAAGCACUGCUUCCUGGUUUACGUUGAGAUGGGAAAGACUUGCCCAAGAACAAUGGCGUUUUCACAAAACACCACUUUGUUCUGGUGAGACCAGGAGGGGGUUUCCUUCGGGACCUAGCCUGGUCCCAUUGCCCCAGCCUGCCAACCACAACAGCUACAUGGCGUUCUCUGGGACCAGCCUUUCAUCUGAGAUGCUAGCUCACGCACAGCUUAACCCUUCAGACCCCACCCUGUCCAAGCAGCAGCAUCUCAGGGCUCAAAGAAGUCUCCCUGGAGAUCCCAGGACAUGCUGGCCUGGGGAGUCUAUUGGGGGAAUCAAUGGAUGACCUGACCGUCUCUUUUCUUGUUUGACGGGACCUUCUGGAAAUGGGGCUCAGAUCUGUCCUGGGAGGGUCUCAGCUCAAAACGCCUUUGAAGCAUCAGAGUCAGAAGGUCAUUUCUUUGUAGAUGGGGAGACUGAGGCAGAGCAAAGGAAAUGAGUUGGCUGAGGCCCCGUGGAGAGUUAGUGGUGGAGCCGAGGCAGUGAUCCAGGGCUCUGACCCUCAGACCCACACUCUUCCAACAUUCUGUUCUUCUCUAGAGGAGCAAACAAACGUUUGGGAGGAGAAGGGGUUAAAGCUACCUUGGAGAGAGAGAGAGAUGCAUCUACAGGGCCCCGGAGUGUCUGAGGGAGGUGUGCAGGGGAAAGGGUGUGUGAUGUUGGGAGCUGCACUUCCUGGUGUCACAGACAGUGGGGGUGACUCCUGUAACCACUCAGGCAUGCACGGCUGUUAACCACUCAGGCAUAUGCACGGCUGCGUCUCUGUGAAUCGCUAAGUGGACCAAUUUAGCGAACAAUCCCGUCUGUCUAGAGGGGGACAUUAAUGGGAAGUGAAUGGGCGGAUAAUUACGUAGUCAGAACAAUGAGCUAGAAGAAGUUUGCGUUUGCUUUUCUCCAACUGUUGUUUUCACAUUCUGCCUGGCAGAGAAACAGGCUCAGGUAAAGAGCAAAUGUUUCUCACCCUAGUAAAGCAGUGUGAUGGUGGUGACAGUUUGGGGGGACGGAGUGUUCGCGUUGGGGCAGGUAUCGCUGACAACUGUGUGGUGGUUCUAGGCGUGGUGGCCUAGAUGGUAGUAGUGCCAUGUUUCGUGGGGUUGGUUGCAGUCCUGGUGACUUUGGUACCAUUUACGGUUACGGAUGCUUUUGGUGAUGUUGGCGCUGGUGGUUCUCGGGGAGCAGUGGUGAGUACAGUUUGGUGAUGAUGGAAGCCACGAUGGCGGUGGUGGUGGGUGAUGUGACAGCGAUGGCGGUAUUGCUGAUCCAGUGGGAACAGUGAGAGCGAUGGUGCUAGGCAUGGUGGCAUUGGUAUUGGUGAUGGUGGUGAAGGCAAGGGUGGUGCUGGUGGUGCAAACGAUGGCUACAGUUUUGGUAGUGCAAUGACCACGGUCUUGGAGGGUGUGAAAGUGACCGUGGCCUUGGUAUAAGAACAGUGUAGCUGUUGUUGGUCAAAAUAAUUUUCAUGAUGCCUUGUGUUGGUGAUGAUGAUGGGGUGGUGGGGUCAGUGCUAAUGGCGGUACUAUUUUGUUUUGUUUUUUUUUUUGCCCCACCCAUUGGCAUACGGAAGUUCCCAGGCCAGGGAUCAAACCUGUGCCACAGCAGUGACCUGAGCCAGAGCAGUGAUCCUUAACUGCUAGGCCACCAGGGAACUCCAGCCGUACUGUAUUUGAUAAUAUUGGAGACACCUGCCUGUCUUAGUUGGUAGAACUGAUAAACUGGUAGAACUAGCUGUCUAUGCUGGAGGGGACGGCUAUCUUUGGGGGUCAGUGAGUAUGGCGCUGAGAAACAGAUCUGUUACUAGGAAAGUGGAUGAGAGGGAGGCCCAGGAUUGCUGAGCUGGAGAGAGCUCUAGUGGGCAGGUCAGCAGGAAACCGGCACAUGCGGGCAUGCCCACAGUGGGGGCCGCACCAGGCUGGCAGGGAGGCAGCCGUGGUGGCCGUGCAGGGGCUCACGUAGCUGGCAGAACAAGGGCUGAACUUCCUGCUGACUCAGCAGAGCAGGCUGGGACUGAUUCUCCUGGACUAAUGUGUCUUCUCCCCAGGAUUAGCUCACUCAGCUCUGGUUGGGGAAGGGGGAGGGAGGCGGCCUCUCCCCUGUUCCCGGGGCUUAGGGGCCCUUGGGGAGGCUGCAGGCCAACUGUGGGGCCCCAGCAGGGCAGUGACUGACCCUGUGUGCUUUGACCUUGUUCCCAGUGGGCCCUCAUUUGAUGGGCAGGAAGCAGGGUACCCCGGGGUCUAGGACUCUCUGUAUACUCAGCCCGCCCCGUGCAACCCCCUCCCCGUGGUUGUUUACCCUGCGUUCAAAUCCCAGCUCUGCUACACAGAAGACAGCCCAGCCUGGGGUGAGGAGAGAGCUCUGGAACCGUUUAACCUCAGUUUCAGGUUCCGCACGUGGUAGCUGUGUGACUCUGGGACAGUCGCUUGCCCUCUCUGUGCCUUGGCUCACCGUUUGCGAGACGGUGGCAAUGACUGUGCAGUCACAGGCUGUUGUGAGAUCAGAUGAGUUAAGGCCUACAAAGUGCUUGUGGUGGUGGCAUGGAGCUGGCAUUCAGAAAGCGCUUGCUCUUAUUCUCAUACUGAGAGUUGAGUUACUUUAAGAAACUCUUAAGCUCUCUUUUUCUCUCCAGCGAAAUGGUGAUCGUCCUUCAUGUGCACACUUGGUGUGAGAAUUGAGGGUGAGUCAAUGGAUGAAGAUGCUGGUGGUUCCCGUCCUUGUUGUUAGUACGAAGGGCAGCCCCGGUGUCUCUCCUGGAGCGGGGGGCUCACAUCUCGUGGGAUUUGGAUCCCUGGAGCGAUGGAUGCUUAGCCUGUGGCUCCGGAUCUUGUGCCAGGACUGGCUGCCUCCUGACAUGGGAAGCAACUCCUCCUUGUGAUGGCAGGAUGUGAGGAGGUCAGCCGUCCAGUUUCUAGCCCUUUGCUCCCCUCCCCUGCCCCAACCCCAGACCCAUACCCAGGACAGGGACGGAGAAAGGAGACGAAUGUUCUGGAAGAGUCUUCCCAUGCUGAGGCUUCUGAGGAAGCUUUCCUCGUUUUUCCAUCCCUGCCUCCCUUUCUCUUUCUCUUCCUUCCCGCCCUCAUUCAUUCACUCACUCAUUCAUUCCUCCGCAAGACACGGAGGUCAUGGGGUCGGCCCUUGUCUCUGAGAGAAUCUAGCUCCAGCUUCAGUCAAGCCUUCAGUGAAUGAUUCCAAGAAGAAAGGGAGACAGCAUCAGAUGAAAACGAAACUUUUCUUUGCUUUAAGGAAAAUGAUCAGCAAUGAUGCUGCUUGGAUACCAUAUAAUCCACACCUAAAUAAAAGAACAACAGGAUGAGUAGUUUUUUUCUCAGCGGUAAAAGAGAUAAAAACUACACGCUCCCAUGGAGUUUUUUUUUUUUAUUAUAUUCAGGUUCAUUGAGUUGAGUCCACUCUGCCAAUUUCAUUUUUCCCCUCUUCCCAGAUUCCCUUCCUCCCUUCCUCCACCCAGGAAUCUACUCCAAUAAGGAUGUUAAAAAAAAUGUGUCCUGGAGUUCCCUUGUGGUGCGGCGGGUUAAAGAUCUGGCAUUGUCACUGCCUUAGCUUGGGUGACUGCUGUGGCAUGGGUUCAGUCCCUGACCCAGGAACUUCCACAUGGCGCAGGUGUGGCAG
rnacentral:lncRNA from 1 species